ACCAAUGAGGUGGGGAAGAGAAGUAUUCCAUGCACUACAUCCCCUUCCUGCUUCUGCUGCUGCUGCAUCUAAUUUAACCCUAAUGACUAAUUAAAAGCAAUGGCAGCAGGGGAGUUGUGCUGAAAAAACUACUGGUUAGAGAACAAUUCUAAUAAACUUUUACAUACAAUAAAGGCUAAUCGUGAAGGCCAGUGCCUCUGCAUGCCAUAAUAUAUUUGGUACGUGGUACAAGAGCCUCUGCUGAUGUGGAACUGCUGAAUUAGAAUUUAGCAAAGAGAUUUCAUUCCUUCCAGACUCGAAUAGGGACAACUUUCCUGUCCCAUUACAGAGAAACAACAACCAAGACCAAAGAAUAGAAAAGAAACUCUGAACGAAAAAAGCAUCCCAGUCUACAGAAGAUGUUAAUCUUGUGAUACUCUCCAACAUUUUACAUAUUAAAAAGGGAACACUAUCAGUCACUUUAUUUGUAUACUGUUUUUCUAUAUAGUAUACUGAUUCACAAAAAUAAAUAAAUUAAGUGCAUCACU